rnacentral:rRNA from 1 species
CCUACGGGUGGCAGCAGUGGGGAAUAUUGCACAAUGGGGGAAACCCUGAUGCAGCGACGCCGCGUGAGUGAAGAAGUAAUUCGUUAUGUAAAGCUCUAUCAGCAGGGAAGAAAAUGACGGUACCUGAGUAAGAAGCCCCGUCUAACUACGUGCCAGCAGCCGCGGUAAUACGUAGGGGGCAAGCGUUAUCCGGAUUUACUGGGUGUAAAGGGAGCGUAGACGGCAGUGCAAGUCUGGAGUGAAAGGCGGGGGCUCAACCCCCGGACUGCUCUGGAAACUGUGUUUCUUGAGUGCUGGAGAGGCAAUCGGAAUUCCGGGUGUAGCGGUGAAAUGCGUAGAGAUACGGAGGAACACCAGUGGCGAAGGCGGAUUGCUGGACAGUAACUGACGCUGAGGCGCGAAGGCGUGGGGAGCAAACAGGAUUAGAUACCCUUGUAGUC